rnacentral:rRNA from 1 species
AUUGAACGCUGGCGGCAGGCCUAACACAUGCAAGUCGAACGAGUGGCGGACGGGUGAGUAAUGUCUGGGAAACUGCCUGAUGGAGGGGGAUAACUACUGGAAACGGUAGCUAAUACCGCAUACCAUCAGAUGUGCCCAGAUGGGCUUAGCUAGUUGGUGGGGUAACGGCUCACCAAGGCGACGAUCCCUAGCUGGUCUGAGAGGAUGACCAGCCACACUGGGACUGAGACACGGUCCAGACUCCUACGGGAGGCAGCAGUGGGGAAUAUUGCACAAUGGGCGAAAGCCUGAUGCAGCCACGCCGCGUGUAUGAAGAAGGUCUUCGGGUCGUAAAGUACUGUCAGCGGGGAGGCGGUACCCGCAGAAGAAGUACCGGCUAACUCCGUGCCAGCAGCCGCGGUAAUAC